CUCCAAUGAAGAUAGUAUCUGGAUACUCUGGAUAGUAUCAUUUAAAUGUAUUGUUGGUUAAAGUGAAAUAAACACAAAGUUGUUUGGGAACACGUGAAUGCAAACCACAGGAUGAUUCAGUGGUAUUUACAUUUGGGGCUGAACUUAUCACAGCUGGGUCCUGAGAUUUAACAAAAAUCUGAAUAUUUUAUAGUUUUUGGCUGUUCUCAUUUUUUUAAAAAUUAUUUUAGCUUUGGAUAGGCAUUGUCUGCUCACCACUUUGACAUAGCACUAAAUGUCAUAAUUGCUAAUUUACCCAACUGAAGGGAACAUCUUGGCCUCUGGUUGAUAAGCACCAUGUGGUUUUGCAGACUCAAAGCACUGAGGGGGGAAAUGGUGUACUUGGCCUGGCAUUUCCUGACUUCAAACAGUUGAUUUAGGAUGCUUAAGGUUAAGUUAGAGGUCACUUGAGUUUUAAACAUCUUAAUACAAAACUCAACCUAAAAGGCAAUAUAUACCCAAAGAAAUCUAGGAAAAGUACAGCAUUGUUUCCUUUAAGACCUAUGGUUAGUAAGUGAAGCCCAGAAUUCACAGAGUUUAGACAAGAGCACAGCAUUCACCACAGGAAUGGAGACCACCAGAGAACCUCAGAGACACAGAAAAACUCCAUCAAGUGAGUCUGCUUAGAGUUAAUAACGUGACUUGUGAGUUCUUUACAGCCAAUAUCUAUUAAUCAUGCUCCCUUUAUCUGUCACUAAAUAUAAAUAGGAAGGAUUAUCCUAGGGAUUUAGCUCUCAGAAUGCACUGAAGGAAAUUUACCAGAAGUGAUCAUCAUUCUUCAUGCAAGGAGGAAGAGAAGAAUGGCUUUCUGUGAGCUCUGUGCUGUAGACCUCACCUCUGCCCAAUUCUAUUCUUCAGUCAGAUCCCUGAGAGAGGUUGGCAGAUAGAGGAGGAAUGAACUGUUCAAGCUCAUUGGCCACCUGAUUGGCAAAAAUGUUUAUUUUUGGAGGCCAGGAGCACCAUUGCUACACAAACUUUAGAACUCAGUGGUCUAUCACAUAGAUGCAGGGAGGAGAGAAAUUUCCGUCAAGUUCUAGCACAUUAUAGUAUCAUGCACUAGGACCUUCUGCCAUAAUGGAAGUGAGGAAUGCUCUCUAAUCUGUGCUGUUCCAUAGUCACAUGUGGCUAUUGAGCACUUGAAAUGUGUGACUGAGGAACUAAAUUUCAAUUUUCAUUUAAUUCUAAAUUUAAGUAGCCAUAUCUGACUAAUUUAGGUAACCGUGUUGAAAAGUACAUAUUUUUUAUAACAUCUUGACAUCUAUAUAACCCUGACCCAAACUUUUUAAAUAUCAUAUAGGCAGAAACAUUGUGCUUUAUGCUAAAAACAUUAGCGAGAUGACAAUAUGUAUAAAAUAAUUUGGGUAUUGAUAUGAAAAUAAAAAUUGAGAAUGAAAGCCUUGCCAAGUAAUCUCCAAGCACAUCUCAAAUAUUAAUUCUUUAAUUAAGUAUAUACUGAGAGGUCAUCAGCAGGAUGAAUGUACUAUGAACAUGAAGAGAAGUUACUUUCUUCUUUUAUUAAACUCCCAGUCUAGUGGAAGGAAAGAGACAAAUAAGCAGGUAUUUAAAGUAUGUUUUGGCAAGUGCUUGGAUAGAAAUGGAGCUGAGGCAGCACAAUGAUUUUUAUAAUGUGGAGCACUGCCCACAUAGUUGUCAAUAUUUUGUAUGUGUAGUAUUGUAAUACAAGGAAUUAGUUACAAAAAUAAAUGCAAUACUUUCACCUCCCAAUUUCUGCACUAAACACUGCAGUUACUUACAAAUUUGUUCUCCAAAUAUAGAUAUCUCUCUUGAUAACAAAAGUUUCUUUCCGUUCUUAUCUCCAAAUAAAACCAGGUCUACUGUGCUUGAGGCUACUCUUUAAGGAGCAGUUUACUGUUGCCCCAGCUCCAAGUCUUUUCUGGCUUCAGUUUGGCUUAUCACUUACCUUGUAGACCUGACACUAGAUCUUCUGAGUUAUCCAGUCAGGUUCACGUGUUUAGCAGAAACACAGAGAUAAGAUUGUGGGAGACAGAAUGAACAGAGCAUAGCUGAUGAUUUGGUGGCCUGUGACCUGUCCCCUUACUUACUUUUGUGGCUGUGGUUAGCAGACCAUGCAUGGUGACAGUUGUCUUGAUCAGUCUGGGUACAAAUCCUAUCAUAAGCCCUGCAUCCCCAUGACUUCAUUCAAACCUGAUUACUUUUCAAAAUCCCCAUUUCCACAUGCCUGCCUACUGGGGAUUAAGGCUUUAACAUAUGAAUUUUAGGGUGACACAAACAUUCAGUCAGUGAUAAUUCAACCUCACAUGUCAGCUCCGUUCUUGUGCCUCAGCCUUUCUGAAGCUGUGGAGUUUAUUCUCAGCAUAAGCAUGUUCUUACACCUGGGAGAUGACCUUUAAAAAUUGGGGAUUGAAGCCAGUGAUCAAAAGCCCCAGAGCCAAUUCUUCAUAAGGACACUUCUGAGAAAUGGUUAAAGUCCUGGAAGGGUUUCUAAAACAAACAAACAAACAAAAAUAAACAUAGGAAAGGCUCUCAUUGCCCAAUGCAGCAGUCUUGACAAAACACCCUUGAGUUGGUUUUUCUCCCCUUCGUGUCGCCCUCUCCCUGAUCUCUCAGGCCCUUAUUCUGACAUCAUCUAUUGUGCAGAGAAACUGUGUGCCCUAGUCAUUUUCUGUGAAUUGAAGAGGUUAAGUAAGAUUCUGACUAACAGUUAAAUUGUGUGUGUAUGUGUGGGUGAUAUCUAUGCUUACAGUGUCUUCCUAAGAAUAUAAUUUAUAAAUCUCAGAAUAUAUGCUGAAUUCUUUCAUUCCUCAGUCUUAAUGAUGUUCACUUUUUCAUCUCAAUCGCAUCACAUUUUUGAAAAGUGAAACUCCCAUGGGGUAUGUCCUUUCUCAGGGUUGAUAAUAUCCUGAGCCUUAUCCAUUUAUGUCUUUGAAUGUGACUUUGUUACAAACCCAUUCACUCAUGGGAGGACAGAUGGGAAUGGGAAACAAUGAAAACUGACCUUAGUGACCCUUUGAUUCAUUAAAAAAAAAUUGUUGUUGUUGUACUUAGUUGUACAUGACAGCAGAAUGUAUUUCAAUUCAUCUUACACAAAUAGAAUGUAACAGUAAUUAUUUGUAUGUAUGGGGUACAGUAAAAUUUCAAUACAUGUCUACAAUCCAACGUGUAAUAAUCAGAUUAAAGUAACUAACAUACCUAUCAC
rnacentral:lncRNA from 1 species